rnacentral:rRNA from 1 species
AUUGAACGCUGGCGGCAUGCCUUACACAUGCAAGUCGAACGGCAGCACGGGUGCUUGCACCUGGUGGCGAGUGGCGAACGGGUGAGUAAUACAUCGGAACAUGUCCUGUAGUGGGGGAUAGCCCGGCGAAAGCCGGAUUAAUACCGCAUACGAUCUACGGAUGAAAGCGGGGGACCUUCGGGCCUCGCGCUAUAGGGUUGGCCGAUGGCUGAUUAGCUAGUUGGUGGGGUAAAGGCCUACCAAGGCGACGAUCAGUAGCUGGUCUGAGAGGACGACCAGCAACAGUGGAACGAACACAGGCCCCAGCCUCCUACGGGAGGAAGAAGGGGGGAUUUGUGGACAAGGGGAGAAAGCCUAAUCCAACAAGGCGGCGUGUGUGAAGAGGGCCUUCGGUUUGUAAAGCACUUUUGCCCGAAAAGAAACCCUGGCCCCAAAUACGGUGGGGGGAGAAGGGUCCCGAAAAAAAAAGCACCGGCUAACUACGGC